CCCUUGGGUGAACUCUCCUCGUCUACCAAACUGCCCCCAUGCUGCCCUUCUCCCUAGAGAUCCUUAUCAUCUAUCCGCCAUACAUCCUGAUCUUUCUACCAAGACUGCCUCCAACCAAAGUUGGAUCAGCAAAUUAUGCAUCCAAACCUUCCACCUUGGAAAACAUUCCUUCCCGUCAAUCCUCUCAACCUCUACCUUCAACCCGCUGCUUCCGAUUGGCCUAACCACAGCAAAAAUGAAAGUAGAUCUAAGACAUACUGUGGAUAGGUGUGCAAAUUUCUUAUUUCACCUUGUAUGACUUCUCCUUCUCUUUCAUGCUCUACUAGACUCUGAUAAUAAUUGUUAGAAAAAUCUUGACUGCAUCUGUCAGGAACCCUUGGAUCUUCUGCAUGUACCUGAGGAGAUCUAUGAUAGAUCCAGACUCUUUGAAGGCAACGAACAUUGAUCCACUAUCUAGAUCUGUGAUGGGGCACCUCCAUCCUAGGGCUUGAGGGAGGCACCCCACUUUCUUUAGGGAUUCUUCAAGGAACCUAGAGCGACAACACUAGAAAAAGAGAGAAGAGAGAUUGAGAGAGAAAAUAUCUAUAUUCCACUAUAUCUUGAAAUCCUAACAUAACCUAUGUAUAUAUAUACAUAGCCAAUAGACCCGACCAGAAACUCUUUUGGCUGAACCUAUACAAGAAAGUACUAACUGAGCUCAUGUACGCCCAUAUCUCAUAAGCUCUCAUCCCUUGAACUUAAUCCUAGUCCAAAUCCUGAGUUAGCCCCC
rnacentral:lncRNA from 1 species